AGAGUUUGAUCAUGGCUCAGGAUGAACGCUGGCGGCGUGCCUAAUACAUGCAAGUCGAGCGGUAAGGCUUUCACUCUGUAUUUAAUGAGUUGAAUAUAGUGUGAAAGUACACGAGCGGCGGACGGCUGAGUAACGCGUAGGAACGUACCCCAAAGUGAGGGAUAAGCACCGGAAACGGUGUCUAAUACCGCAUGUGAUCUUCGGAUUAAAGCUUUAUGCGCUUUGGGAGCGGCCUGCGUAAGAUUAGUUUGUUGGUGAGGUAAUGGCUCACCAAGACUACGAUCUUUAGCUGGUCUGAGAGGAUGAUCAGCCAGACUGGGACUGAGACACGGCCCAGACUCCUACGGGAGGCAGCAGUAGGGAAUUUCCACAAUGGACGAAAGUCUGAUGGAGCAACGCCGCGUGCAGGAUGAAGGCCUUCGGGUUGUAAACUGCUUUUAUCUGUGACGAUUAUGACGGUAGCAGAUGAAUAAGGAUCGGCUAACUCCGUG
rnacentral:rRNA from 1 species